rnacentral:rRNA from 1 species
UCGCCUGUUUAUCAAAAACAUGUYUUUUUGAUUAUAAUUUAAAGUCUGAUCUGCUCCAUGAUUUAAUAAAUUAAAUAGCUGCAGUAAUUUGACUGUACAAAGGUAGCAUAAUCAAUAGUUUUUUAAUUGAAAGCUUGUAUGAAUGAUUUGAUAAGGUAAAUAUUGUCUCAAUUUUAAUAAAAUUAAAAUUUUUUUUUUAGUAAAAAUACUAAAGUUAAUUUAAAAGACGAGAAGACCCUAUAGAAUUUAAUAUAUAGUAAAUUAUUUAAUUUAAAUUUAAAUUAUUGGUAUUUUAUAUUUUAUAUUUGGUUGGGGAAAUUAUUAAAUUAAUAAAAUUUUAAUAUAAAAUAUAUAACAAAAAUUAUUGAUUAUUUGAUCCUUUAUUUAAGAUUAGGAGAAUAAAUUACCUUAGGGAUAACAGCGUAAUUUUUUUGGAGAGAUCUUAUUGAUAAAAAAGUUUGCGACCUCGAUGUUGAAUUAAGAUAAAUUUUUAACGUAGAAGUUAAAUUAUUUUGGUCUGUUCGACCAUUAAAAUCUUACGUGAUCUGAGUUCC